rnacentral:tRNA from 1 species
GGCCUCGUAGCUCAGUUGGAUAGAGCAACAGCCUUCUAAGCUGUGGGUCAGGGGUUCGAAUCCCUUCGGGGUCA